UACGUAGGGUGCGAGCGUUGUCCGGAAUUACUGGGCGUAAAGAGCUCGUAGGUGGUUUGUCGCGUUGUUCGUGAAAACUCACAGCUUAACUGUGGGCGUGCGGGCGAUACGGGCAGACUUGAGUACUGCAGGGGAGACUGGAAUUCCUGGUGUAGCGGUGGAAUGCGCAGAUAUCAGGAGGAACACCGGUGGCGAAGGCGGG
rnacentral:rRNA from 1 species